AUGUGAAGAAAGCUGUCUGCUCAAGAUGGCUCCCUACCUCUGAGCCUGGGGGGGGGCAGUGGGGGAGAGGAGUCCAGGUGUGAGAUGAAUCUUUGGCUCUGACUCCUGGGGCUGCCCAGGUAAAUAGAGCUGUCAGAAAUACCCAGAAGGAGCCAGCUGUUUCCUGAAGGGCUCUCUCCCACAUGCCUGGGAGCUGCAUGACCAGGCUUGAGCCUCCUCCUCCACCUUUUGCCUCAGAGCCCCAGUGCCGCAGCACCCUGCAAGCCUGUUUCACAGAUGAAGGGCUGCGGCCACGAGCGGACAGAAAUGGCAGAAAGGACAGAGCUGUGCGUGUUUGUUCAGAAGAAACUGUUUAUCUGGGGAACUAUAUGUCAAACCCGGCCUUACUGGCCGACAAUAGUGGUUUGCCCAGAUAAUUUAUGCCACCAAAUGAACAUCAAGCCGGGCUGUGUAGAGCUAGAGGCUUUUCUUGAAAAAUGUCUAAUGGACUGGUGUUGAAAACCAUUGUAAACCAAGGCUUUGGAGACCCAGGCUGGGAGAGACUCUGGGUCUGCGGCAGUCCAGCCUGAAGUCCUCAGGCAAUUCUCUAAUCAUCUUCGUGGCAUGGUUUUGCUAUCAUUUCCAAUGACCCAUGGACUUGGGAGUUGUUCUUUAUGUCAUCCGACAUGUUAUAUUGGUGAUGUUCUUGUUCAAUAUGUUUAUUGUUAAAUUUUAGAAUGGGAAGAUUAAUAUAGACUCUCCCACCUUACACAACAAUUUGACUGCUGAAACACUGUAUAUACAAUAUAUAUUAUCAAUAAAGUCACAUUUAUGUGAAUCAGAGGUGUUGGCCAUUAAAAGGAA